GACGUAGGUGGCGAACGUUAUCCGGAAUUAUUGGGCGUAAAGGGUGCGUAGAUGGCCUGAUAAGUUAGCAGUGGGAAAUCGAGGCUCAACCUCGUGGAAGCUGGUAAUACUGUCAGGCUCGAGUGCAGGAGAGGUUAACGGAACUCCAUGUGGAGCGGUAAAAUGUGUAGAUAUAUGGAAGAACACCAAUAACGGCGAAGGCAGUUAACUAUUCUGUUACUGACAUUGAGGCACGAAAGCGUGGGGAGCAAAACGU
rnacentral:rRNA from 1 species